GGAGAGAUGGCUCAGUGGUUAAGAGAACUGACUGCUCUUCCAGAGGUCCUGAGUUCAAUUCCCAGCAACCACA
rnacentral:tRNA from 1 species